rnacentral:rRNA from 4 species
GUUGACCUCGAAUCAGGUAGGACUACCCGCUGAACUUAAGCAUAUCAA